GACGAACGCUGGCGGCGUGCUUAACACAUGCAAGUCGAACGGAAAGGCCCCUUUGGGGGUACUCGAGUGGCGAACGGGUGAGUAACACGUGAGUAACCUGCCCUUGACUUCGGGAUAACUUCAGGAAACUGGGGCUAAUACCGGAUAGGAAUCCUUGCUGCAUGGUGGGGGUUGGAAAGCUUCGGCGGUUUUGGAUGGACUCGCGGCUUAUCAGCUUGUUGGUGGGGUAGUGGCUUACCAAGGCUUUGACGGGUAGCCGGCCUGAGAGGGCGACCGGCCACAUUGGGACUGAGAUACGGCCCAGACUCCUACGGGAGGCAGCAGUGGGGAAUAUUGCACAAUGGGUGGAAGCCUGAUGCAGCAACGCCGCGUGCGGGAUGACGGCCUUCGGGUUGUAAACCGCUUUCAGCAGGGGCGAAGCUUGUGGUGACGGUACCUGCAGAAGAAGCACCGGCUAACUACGUG
rnacentral:rRNA from 1 species